rnacentral:rRNA from 1 species
CUUGUCGGGUAAGUUCCGACCCGCACGAAAGGCGUAACGAUUUGGGCACUGUCUCAACGAGAGACUCGGUGAAAUCAUAGUACCUGUGAAGAUGCAGGUUACCCGCGACAGGACGGAAAGACCCCGUGGAGCUUUACUGUAGCCUGAUAUUGAAAUUCGGCACAGCUUGUACAGGAUAGGUAGGAGCCUUUGAAACGUGAGCGCUAGCUUACGGGGAGGCGCUGGUGGGAUACUACCCUAGCUGUGUUGGCUUUCUAACCCGCACCACUUAU